GACGAAGGGGGCUAGCGUUGUUCGGAAUUACUGGGCGUAAAGCGCGUGCAGGCGGUUAUCCAAGUUGGAUGUGAAAGCCUUGAGCUCAACUCAAGAAAUGCAUUCAGGGACUGGGGUGACUAGAGGACCGGAGAGGAUAGUGGAAUUCCCAGUGUAGUGGUGAAAUACGUAGAGAUUGGGAAGGAACACCAAGUGGGCGAAGGCGGCUAUCUGGGACGGGUUUCUGACGCUGAGGACGCGAAAGCGUGGGAGCAAACAGG
rnacentral:rRNA from 1 species